AGAUCUGGUAAUGGGCAAAGAGACACUUUAUUGGUGAUGUUAUUCUUACAUCAGUCAGGGGCAGAGCAGUUGGCAAUCUUUUGUUCAUCCUAGCUUGAUGCCUAGCUUGAUAGCUAAAGCUGUCUUAUGCCUAGGACUCACUA